rnacentral:rRNA from 1 species
CAAUAGCGUAUAUUAACGUUGUUGCAGUUAAAAAGCUCGUAGUUGGAUUUCUGGAGGGAGCGUCGGCCCGUAUUUACGAGUGCGUGACGUCUCUGUCCAUCCUUGCGGGAAGGCACGGCAUUGAUUUGUUGUGUCGGAUCGCAUCAUUUACUGUGAAAAAAUUAGAGUGUUCAAAGCAGGCUUUCGCUUGAAUACAUUAGCAUGGAAUAAUAAGAUAGGACUUUGGUGCUAUUUUGUUGGUUGAGCCUAAAGUAAUGAAUAAUAGGGAUAGUUGGGGGCACCUGUAUUGCGUUGUCAGAGGUGAAAUUCUUGGAUUUACGCAAGACAAACAGCUGCGAAAGCGUCUGCCAAGGAUGUUUUCAUUA